AGUUAAAUCUUAGAAAGCAUUAUAUUUUGAAAAUAUAAAUCAAGGAGUUCAAUUCUCCUUUUAACUU
rnacentral:tRNA from 1 species